rnacentral:rRNA from 1 species
AUUGAACGCUGGCGGCAGGCCUAACACAUGCAAGUCGAGCGGAUGAAGGGAGCUUGCUCCUGGAUUCAGCGGCGGACGGGUGAGUAAUGCCUAGGAAUCUGCCUGGUAGUGGGGGAUAACGUCCGGAAACGGGCGCUAAUACCGCAUACGUCCUGAGGGAGAAAGUGGGGGAUCUUCGGACCUCACGCUAUCAGAUGAGCCUAGGUCGGAUUAGCUAGUUGGUGGGGUAAAGGCCUACCAAGGCGACGAUCCGUAACUGGUCUGAGAGGAUGAUCAGUCACACUGGAACUGAGACACGGUCCAGACUCCUACGGGAGGCAGCAGUGGGGAAUAUUGGACAAUGGGCGAAAGCCUGAUCCAGCCAUGCCGCGUGUGUGAAGAAGGUCUUCGGAUUGUAAAGCACUUUUAGUUGGGAGGAAGGGCAGUAAGUUAAUACCUUGCUGUUUUGACGUUACCAACAGAAUAAGCACCGGCUAACUUCGUG